GGGGAUGUAGUAUAGCCUGGUUAGUACUCGAGGUUUGGGACUUCGAAACCCCAGUUCAAAUCUGGGCAUCCCCA
rfam:Candidatus Pacearchaeota archaeon CG1_02_39_14 cg1_0.2_scaffold_331_c, whole genome shotgun sequence.